rnacentral:rRNA from 12 species
GUGAAUACCGUUGGGGGUAGAGCACUGGAUGGGCUAUGGGGACUCACCGUCUUACUGAUCCUAACCAAACUCCGAAUACCGAGGAGUACUAGUCGGCAGACACACGGCGGGUGCUAACGUCCGUCGUGAAAAGGGCAACAACCCUGACCUCCAGCUAAGGUCCCCAAGUCAUGGCUAAGUGGGAAAGGAUGUGAGGAUCCCAAAACAACCAGGAUGUUGGCUUAGAAGCAGCC